CCCACUCAGCCACCACAUAAAAAACAGUCAUCUCAGCCAUCUGCCUGCCUGUAGGGUUCCUUUUACCCCUAAGGAAGACUCCUGGAGUCUGCAGACAUCACACACUUCAGUUUCCUGUCUCUGAGCCUCAUGCUCCUCACAUGUUGAAAGUUCUUCCUCUGUAAUCUAAUCUAAAUCCUUUAUGCUGCUUUUCAGACCAUUAAAGAAGAAAUGAAUAGUCAAAUUAUAUGCAAAUCUGGCACCAGUGUUCCCAGGAGUGAGGCUUGCUUCAGCCUGCCUAGGACCCAGAUACAGAUAGAAAGCCCAGAAGACAUACACACACCCUUCCCCAUCAACAACAGGCAUCCACCUCCCCACCCCAGCACCCGCUGAACCACCCUGGCCCUGGCCAUCUUCUGCUCUGCCCGGGGACCCAGCAUCCAGCCCCACUCACGACUCACUAAGACCCACACCGCGCUCAGCUCCAGCACCAGCGAUACCAGCAGGACGAGGCGACGGCAGCGGCUGCACCGCUCCAUGGCUGGCUACUGGAACCGGAUCCCAAGGACCCAGAUGUGGCCGG